rnacentral:tRNA from 1 species
AUUUAAGUAAUUUAAUUAAAAAUUUUGAUUUGUGAUAUCAAAAAUAUAAGUUUAAAUCUUAUCUUAGAUC